CCUACGGGAGGCAGCAGUGGGGGAUAUUGCACAAUGGGGGGAACCCUGAUGCAGCGACGCCGCGUGGGUGAAGGAGCGUUUCGGCGCGUAAAGCCCUAUCGGCAGGGAAGAAGGAGGACGGUACCUGACGAAGAAGCCCCGGCUAACUACGUGCCAGCAGCCGCGGUAAUACGGAGGGGGCAAGCGUUAUCCGGAUUUACUGGGUGUAAAGGGAGCGGAGACGGCAGUGCAAGUCUGGAGUGAAAGGCGGGGGCUCAACCCCCGGACUGCUCUGGAAACUGUCCGGCGGGAGUGCAGGAGAGGUAAGUUGAAUUCCUAGUGUAGCGGUGACAUGCGUCGAUAUUAGGAGGAACCCCAGUGGCGACGGCGGCUUACUGGACUGUAACUGACGUUGCGGCUCGAAAGCGUGGGGAGCAAACAGGAUUAGAUACCCGAGUAGUC
rnacentral:rRNA from 1 species